rnacentral:rRNA from 1 species
GACGAACGCUGGCGGCGUGCCUAAUACAUGCAAGUCGAACGAACCGCGACUGAGUGCUUGCACUUGGUCAAGGUGAGUGGCGAACGGGUGAGUAACACGUGGGUAACCUACCUCAUAGUGGGGGAUAACAGUCGGAAACGACUGCUAAUACCGCAUAGGACAUGGAAUCACAUGAUUCCGUGAGGAAAGGUGGCGCAAGCUAUCGCUAAGAGAUGGACCCGCGGUGCAUUAGCUAGUUGGUAGGGUAACGGCCUACCAAGGCGAUGAUGCAUAGCCGACCUGAGAGGGUGAUCGGCCACAUUGGGACUGAGACACGGCCCAAACUCCUACGGGAGGCAGCAGUAGGGAAUCUUCCGCAAUGGACGCAAGUCUGACGGAGCAACGCCGCGUGAGUGAAGAAGGUCUUCGGAUCGUAUAGCUCUGUUGUUAGAGAAGAACAGCGCAUAGAGUAACUGUUAUGCGUGUGACG